UAGCGGAGCGUGUGGUUUAAUUCGAGGCUACGCGAAGAACCUUACCUGGGUUUGACAUAGCGGUGGUAGGGAAGCGAAAGUGGACCGACCUUCGGGAGCCGUUACAGGUGCUGCAUGGCUGUCGUCAGCUCGUGUCGUGAGAUGUUCGGUUAAGUCCGAAAACGAGCGCAACCCCUGGUGCUAGUUACAAGUGUCUAGCGCGACUGCCCGUGACAAACGGGAGGAAGGUGGGGAUGACGUCAAGUCAGCAUGGCCUUUAUAUCCAGGGCUACACACACGCUACAAUGGCCGGUACAGCAGGUUGCCAAGCCGCGAGGCGGAGCCAAUCCAGCAAAGCCGGUCCCAGUUCGGAUUGUAGGCUGCAACUCGCCUGCAUGAAGUUGGAGUUGCUAGUAACCGCGA
rnacentral:rRNA from 1 species